rnacentral:rRNA from 1 species
AUACGGAGGGUGCAAGCGUUACUCGGAAUCACUGGGCGUAAAGCGCGCGCAGGCGGUCUUUUAAGUUGGAUGUGAAAGCCUACGGCUCAACCGUAGAACUGCAUCCAAAACUAUUAGACUAGAGUGUGGGAGAGGAAGAUGGAAUUAGUUGUGUAGGGGUAAAAUCCGUAGAGAUAACUAGGAAUAACAAAAGCGAAGGCAAUCUUCUGGAACACUACUGACGCUGAGGCGCGAAAGCGUGGGGAGCAAACAGGAUUAGAUACCCUAGUAGUCC